AGUCAAGUGUUUUAGAAGAAUACUGUCAGACUGAUAGAUUAUUACUGGUUAAUUUAGCAGAUUGACAUUUUUUGUUGACUUCAGAGUACUGACUUUCCAGUAUUUAUACAUAUAUAUGUGAAAAAUGUUUUGAUGAAAAGUUUUGAAAUGUUUGUUUGUAGCAUCUUUGAAAUGGUAGCUUUGUUUUCGAAUCAGGUAAUUUUGAUCUCUUAUUCACUUUAGAAUAUUUUACACAGUCAUUCAUCAUAGAAAAAAAAUUAAAACAAACUUCUGACAUAUUUUAUAAAUUUUUUUAAACAAUUAUUGUGGUAAAAAUUUUAAAAUGUUAAAUUUACUACGCACAACUGUUAAUAAAUAGGUUGAGUGCAUG
rnacentral:sRNA from 1 species